UGUAAAACCGAACCGGCCAGUGAAAUUGUAAUACGACUCACUAUAGGGCGAAUUGGGCCCGACGUCGCAUGCUCCGGGCCGCCAUGGCGGCCGCGGGAAUUCGAUUAGAGUUUGAUCAUGGCUCAGGACGAACGCUGGCGGCGUGCUUAACACAUGCAAGUCGAACGAUGAAGCUGGAGCUUGCUCCGGUGGAUUAGUGGCGAACGGGUGAGUAACACGUGAGCAAUCUGCCCUUGACUCUGGGAUAACUGCGGGAAACUGUAGCUAAUACCGGAUACUUUCCUCGGUGGGCAUCCACUGGGGAAGAAAGAAUUUCGGUCAAGGAUGAGCUCGCGACCUAUCAGCUAGUUGGUGAGGUAAUGGCUCACCAAGGCGACGACGGGUAGCCGGCCUGAGAGGGUGACCGGCCACACUGGGACUGAGACACGGCCCAGACUCCUACGGGAGGCAGCAGUGGGGAAUAUUGCACAAUGGGCGCAAGCCUGAUGCAGCAACGCCGCGUGAGGGACGAAGGCCUUCGGGUUGUAAACCUCUUUUAGCAGGGAAGAAGCGAAAGUGACGGUACCUGCAGAAAAAGCACCGGCUAACUACGUGCCAGCAGCCGCGGUAAUACGUAGGGUGCAAGCGUUGUCCGGAAUUAUUGGGCGUAAAGAGCUCGUAGGCGGUUUGUCACGUCUGCUGUGAAAUUUCGAGGCUCAACCUCGAACUUGCAGUGGGUACGGGCAGGCUAGAGUGCGGUAGGGGAGAUGGGAAUUCCUGGUGUAGCGGUGGAAUGCGCAGAUAUCAGGAGGAACACCAAUGGCGAAGGCACAUCUCUGGGCCGUAACUGACGCUGAGGAGCGAAAGCAUGGGGAGCAAACAGGAUUAGAUACCCUGGUAGUCCAUGCCGUAAACGGUGGGUGCUAGCUGUGGGCCACAUUCCACGUGGUCCGUGACGAAGUUAACACAUUAAGCACCCCG
rnacentral:rRNA from 1 species